UACAGAGGUCCCGAGCGUUGUUCGGAUUUAUUGGGCGUAAAGGGUGCGUAGGCGGCGGAGUAAGUUGGGUGUGAAAUCCCGGGGCUCAACCUCGGAAUGGCAUUCAAUACUGCUUCGCUAGAGUACUGGAGAGGAGGCUGGAAUUUACGGUGUAGCAGUGAAAUGCAUAGAUAUCGUAAGGAAGGCCGGUGGCGAAAGCGAGCCUCUGGACAGUUACUGACGCUGAUGCACGAAGGCCAGGGGAGCAAACGGG
rnacentral:rRNA from 1 species